UACGUAGGGUGCAAGCGUUGUUCGGAAUUACUGGGCGUAAAGCGCACGUAGGCGGAUUUGUUAGUCAGGGGUGAAAUCCCGGGGCUCAACCUCGGAACUGCCUUUGAUACUGCAAGUCUCGAGUCCGAUAGAGGUGGGUGGAAUUCCUAGUGUAGAGGUGAAAUUCGUAGAUAUUAGGAAGAACACCAGUGGCGAAGGCGGCUCACUGGUCCGGUACUGACGCUGAGGUGCGAAAGCGUGGGGAGCAAACAGG
rnacentral:rRNA from 1 species